GACGAACGCUGGCGGCGUGCCUAACACAUGCAAGUCGAACGGACAGGCCCUGCUUUUGUGGGGUGCACGAUUGGCGAACGGGUGAGUAACACGUGAGUAACCUGCACCUGACUUUGUGAUAACUUCAGGAAACAGGGGCUCUUACCGGGUAGAAGCUCCUGCUGCAUGUGGUGGGUUGGAGAGUUGCGGCGGUUGUGGCUGGAAUCGCGGUUUAGCAGCUGGUUGGUGUGGUAGUGACUUACCAAGGAUUUGACGGGUAGCCGGCCUGGGAGUGUGACCGGCCACAUUGGCACAGGGAUACGGCCCAGACGGAUACUGGAGGCAGGAGUGAGGAAUUGUGCGCAAUGGGCGGCGGCAUGAUGCAGCAACGCCGCGUGCGAGAAGACGGCCUUCGGGUUGUAAAACGCGUGCGCCUGUGACGAAGCGUGAGUGACGGUAAUGGGUAAAGAAGCACCGGCUAACUACUU
rnacentral:rRNA from 1 species